rnacentral:misc_RNA from 1 species
AUAUAUCAACCUUCUCUUGUUGAGUUGGUUUGGAUGUGGGGGUUUGCUGGCCUCUUAAGAGGUUUCAGCUCUCCUGAAAUGCAUUAGCAGAACAACCCUGUUCAUUGGUGUGAUAACUAUCUACGCUAUUGAAUGUGAAGGGCAGUUUGGCUUUCUAACAGUCCUUGGACAGCUCAUCAUUA